rnacentral:rRNA from 1 species
GACGAACGCUGGCGGUGUGCUUAACACAUGCAAGUCGAACGGUAAGGCCCUUUCGGGGGUCCACGAGUGGCGAACGGGUGAGUAACACGUGAGUAACCUGCCCUCAUCUCUGGGAUAACAGUCGGAAACGGUUGCUAAUACUGGAUAUGAGCUUGCAAGGCAUCUUGUGGGUUGGAAAGAUUUUUUUGGGUUGGGGAUGGACUCGCGGCCUAUCAGCUUGUUGGUGAGGUAGUGGCUCACCAAGGCUUCGACGGGUAGCCGGCCUGAGAGGGCGACCGGCCACAUUGGGACUGAGAUACGGCCCAAACUCCGACGGGAGGCAGCAGUGGGGAAUAUUGCACAAUGGACGGAAGUCUGAUGCAGCAACGCCGCGUGCGGGAUGACGGCCUUCGGGUUGUAAACCGCUUUCAAUUGUGACGAAGCUUUUUUGUGACGGUAGCAGUAGAAGAAGCACCGGCUAACUACGUG